AUUGAACGCUGGCGGAAUGCUUUACACAUGCAAGUCGAGCGGCAGCACGGGGGCAACCCUGGUGGCGAGCGGCGAACGGGUGAGUAAUACAUCGGAACAUGCCCAGUCGUGGGGGAUAACACUUCGAAAGAAGUGCUAAUACCGCAUACGUCCUGAGGGAGAAAGCGGGGGAUCGCAAGACCUCGCGCGAUUGGAGUGGCCGAUGUCAGAUUAGCUAGUUGGUGGGGUAAAGGCCUACCAAGGCAACGAUCUGUAGCUGGUCUGAGAGGAUGAUCAGCCACACUGGGACUGAGACACGGCCCAGACUCCUACGGGAGGCAGCAGUGGGGAAGUUUGGACAAUGGGGGCAACCCUGAUCCAGCCAUUCCGCGUGAGUGAAGAAGGCCUUCGGGUUGUAAAGCUCUUUCGGCAGGAACGAAACGGCGAGCUCUAACAUAGCUUGCUAAUGACGGUACCUGAAGAAGAAGCACCGGCUAACUACGUG
rnacentral:rRNA from 1 species